AUUUACCACCAGUUUACUAUCAGCAUAUCAGAAGCUCCUUCAGGUCCAUAUAUGAGGGGACAAAGAGUGUAUGAAGUGCGGCACUUUGCCAAGAAACUGGCAGUCAUACACCAUUGUCAGUGUUCAGUAACCUGUAUGGCAGGAUUGGACUCUGGGAGAGGCGCCACUCGCCACAGUUCCUGCAGAGUGCAUGUUGAUGCAGACCAUUAUCUCGUCUUCAACCCUAGACCCAGCAGAUCGUCACACACAUCAUGCAGUGCUGCUCGUCUGCUUUUUGGCACGUCUCACAGAAAGAGGCCACCCCCACCUUUCCCCCUCUUUACGGUCCCAGCGAGCAGUGGAAAUUAAUGAACAGGAGAAGAGAACACCACAACAUCUGCAUCUCUCGCUCCUGGAUGGAAGAAGGAAUGGAAGAAUAACGAUCCAGCGACUGCUGGGAGGAGUUAGUGCAGUGGAUCAGGCAGAAGGUCUGUCUCCGCUCAUCUCAUGGUUGUCCUCAUUGAAAGUGUGCUGGAUCUAUGGCUUUUUUAAUUGCUCUGUGUUUGAGCGGUGCUGAGGCUUACUGUCAGAGUGCAGAUCAAUCAUCCUGUGCUCCUCUAUUCCAUGACUCCUAUCCCACUUGAUGGAAUAUAUUUUAA